rnacentral:rRNA from 1 species
AUUGAACGCUGGCGGCAGGCUUAACACAUGCAAGUCGAGCGGAGAUGAGGUGCUUGCACCUUAUCUUAGCGGCGGACGGGUGAGUAAUGCUUAGGAAUCUGCCUAUUAGUGGGGGACAACAUUCCGAAAGGAAUGCUAAUACUGCAUACGUCCUACGGGAGAAAGCAGGGGAUCUACGGACCUUGCGCUAAUAGAUGAGCCUAAGUCGGAUUAGCUAGUUGGUGGGGUAAAGGCCUACCAAGGCGACGAUCUGUAGCGGGUCUGAGAGGAUGCUCCGCCACAUUGGGACUGAGACACGGCCCAGACUCCUACGGGAAGCAGCAGUGGAGAAUAUUGGACAAUGGGGGGCACCCUGAUCCAGCCAUGCCGCGUGUGUAAAGAAGGCCUUAUGGUUGUAAAGCACUUUAAGCGAGGAGGAGGCUACUGAGACUAAUACUCUUGGAUAGUGGACGUUACUCGCAGAAUAAGCACCGGCUAACUCUGUGCCAGCCGCCGCGGUAACAC